AUUGAACGCUGGCGGCAGGCUUAACACAUGCAAGUCGAACGAGUGGCGGACGGGUGAGUAAUGCUGUGGAAUCUAGCUUUUGGAGGGGGAUAACUACGGGAAACUGUAGCUAAUACCCCGUACCAUAGGAUGAGCCCAAGUGGGAUUAGGUAGUUGGUGAGGUAAAGGCUCACUAAGCCGGCGAUCUCUACCUGGUCUGAGAGGAUGACCAGCAACACGGGGACUGAGACACGGCCCAGAUUACUACGGGCGUCAGCAGUGGGGAAGAUUCCGCAAUGGGGGCAACCUGACGCAGUCAUGCCGCGGUAAUGAAGAAAGCCUUCGGGUUGUAAAGUUAUUUGGGUAGUGGGGCGUUAUCUACAGAAGAAGCACCGGCUACGUCCGUGCCUGCAGCCGCGGUAAUUC
rnacentral:rRNA from 1 species